rnacentral:rRNA from 1 species
GACGAACGCUGGCGGCGUGCUUAACACAUGCAAGUCGAACGGAAAGGCCCUGCUUUUGUGGGGUGCCCGAGUGGCGAACGGGUGAGUAACAAGUGAGUAACCUGCCCUUGACUUUGGGAUAACUUCAGGAAACUGGGGCUAAUACCGGAUAGGAGCUCCUGCUGCAUGGUGGGGGUUGGAAAGUUUCGGCGGUUGGGGAUGGACUCGCGGCUUAUCAGCUUGUUGGUGGGGUAGUGGCUUACCAAGGCUUUGACGGGUAGCCGGCCUGAGAGGGUGACCGGCCACAUUGGGACUGAGAUACGGCCCAGACUCCUACGGGAGGCAGCAGUGGGGAAUAUUGCACAAUGGGCGGAAGCCUGAUGCAGCAACGCCGCGUGCGGGAUGACGGCCUUCGGGUUGUAAACCGCUUUCGCCUGUGACGAAGCGUGAGUGACGGUAAUGGGUAAAGAAGCACCGGCUAACUACGUG